CUGAGGAAGCACUGUCUCAUCGGCAGGCAGCGGUGGCAAUGGGGACUUGCUCCAUUCUUGAGGAAAGCCUGCCUCAUAGGAAAUGACCAAUGACUACUGUCCAAGGUAAUGAUGAUGAAGAUAAUAAGACCACCGUGCAUCACUGUGAUCGGCAGCUGUGAUCUUCAAACACUGUCUGGACUAUCUCCAUCCAAGUCUGAGAGUGCUGACCCGACCCCUCUAGGCUUCAGAACAAGAAUGAAUACAGCCAAUUUGUCCAUCCAACUUCCACUGAGUCAGAAAAGAUAAAGAUGAACGGCUGCAGGUUGAUUCUAAGAAGCUUAAUUAUUUUCUUUUCCUGGGAUGCAUUCUUUCUGAAAUGAGUCUAGCUAUCUUCCUUCUGUUAUGGCAGCCCCCCCUCCUCACCAUCCCCCUCCCCAGCAUGGCAAAAGUUUAUUUUGGGCUUGGGGAAUGAAUUUGUAAUUAAAACACUUGCUGUCACAAUCAUAAGCAUUUGCAUAAUAGGGGCUCUUCAUUAGAGCAGAGAA